CCAUUCCCUGCUUCUGGAUCAACAGGCUGCUGGAAUUGCACUUGAGAAUUCAUUUCCCCCCAGCUUUGCCCCCAGCUGACAGACCUGCAAUUCCCCCGGGCCACGGCCCUGGGCAGCAGCCAGAUCUGGGCAAGGGCAACGGGGGGGCCACAAGCCCAGAGCCCAGUGAAAUCCUCCUGGAGACCGUUCCACGCUCUCGGGUAAAAGCUGAAGGAAGAGAAAACAAUUCCAACCAACACCUUUGGUGCUCGUGGGGUGCAGUGAAGCAGCACCUCUGGCAGGGACACCCAAAAGCUUCAGAGAACAGUGUUCCUAGCGAGGAGGGGGUUGAUGAAGAGGGUUUUUUUCUAUUAAGCCCUGAAGAUUUUCCCACCAGGGCAAGUGUUAAACAGCCUGAGGGGUUGUGAGCUCUGUCCUGGAACCAAAUUCUUACCUGAUGAAGACUGGAAGGAAAUACUCUUGGAAAUGCAGCACAAUUUAGUUCCUGAUCUCUCCCCAGGGAAGCUGGGUGCCCAUUUCUGAGACAACAAGCAGCAGGGCUCCAAUGGGGUGAGAAAUCCUCCUGCUUCCUUUGCUCCUGCUGGAGUGGGCCCUUUUCAUUCCACACUGGCAGUUCCCUGUGAUUGAAAUUUGAAAGCAUGUAGCUGUUAAUCUGGGAGUGAUUAAAGAGCCUCAUUUCUUGGAAGAGUCAGUACUCAUCAUCUGCCGUGCUGAAUGAGCCUCUAACAUCCCCUGAUCCCAUUAUAUUGUGAUUAAUUGUGCCAGUUUAAGUCAAUAAUUCAUUUGUUAAAAAUAGGCCUGCAAAGUAUCAUUUG